UACGAAGGGAGCGAGCGUUGUUCGGAAUCACUGGGCUUAAAGCGUACGUAGGCGGAUUUACAAGUCAGGAGUGAAAUCCCAGGGCUUAACCCUGGAAUUGCUUUUGAAACUGUAAGUCUGGAAUCCGGUAGAGGUUGGCGGAACUCCGAGUGUAGAGGUGAAAUUCGCAGAUAUUCGGAAGAACACCAGUGGCGAAGGCGGCCAACUGGACCGGUAUUGACGCUGAGGUACGAAAGCGUGGGUAGCAAAC
rnacentral:rRNA from 1 species